rnacentral:rRNA from 1 species
GACGAACGCUGGCGGCGUGCUUAACACAUGCAAGUCGAACGGAAAGGCCCUGCUUUUGUGGGGUGCUCGAGUGGCGAACGGGUGAGUAACACGUGAGUAACCUGCCCUUGACUUUGGGAUAACUUCAGGAAACUGGGGCUAAUACCGGAUAGGAGCUCCUGCUGCAUGGUGGGGGUUGGAAAGUUUCGGCGGUUGGGGAUGGACUGGCGGCUUAUCAGCUUGUUGGUGGGGUAGUGGCGUACCAAGGCUUUGACGGGUAGCCGGCCUGAGAGGGUGACCGGCCACAUUGGGACUGAGAUACGGCCCAGACGCGUACGGGAGGCAGCAGUGGGGAAUAUUGCACAAUGGGCGGAAGCCUGAUGCAGCAACGCCGCGUGCGGGAUGACGGCCUUCGGGUUGUAAACCGCUUUCGCCUGUGACGAAGCGUGAGUGACGGUAAUGGGUAAAGAAGCACCGGCUAACUACGUG